GCAAGUCGAACGAACCUUCGGGUGGAGCGGCGGACGGGUUAGUAACGCGUGGGAACGUACCCUUUUCUGCGGGAUAGCCAUUGGAAACGAUGAGUAAUACCGCAUACGCCCUUCGGGGGAAAGAUUUAUCGGAGAAGGAUCGGCCCGCGUUAGAUUAGAUAGUUGGUGGGGUAAUGGCCUACCAAGUCUACGAUCUAUAGCUGGUUUUAGAGGAUGAUC
rnacentral:rRNA from 1 species